rnacentral:hammerhead_ribozyme from 1 species
AUCUAGCUGAUGAGUCCCAAAUAGGACGAAAUGCGCGUCCUAGAU